rnacentral:rRNA from 1 species
UAGGGAAUAUUGCACAAUGGAGGAAACUCUGAUGCAGCCAUGCCGCGUGUGUGAAGAAGGCCUUCGGGUUGUAAAGCACUUUCGGAGGGGAGGAAAAAAUAGACGUUACCCUCAGAAGAAGCACCGGCUAACUACGUGCCAGCAGCCGCGGUAAUACGUAGGGGGCAAGCGUUAUCCGGAUUUACUGGGUGUAAAGGGAGCGCAGGCGGUCCUGCAAGUCUGAUGUGAAAGCCCGGGGCUCAACCCCGGGACUGCAUUGGAAACUGUGGGACUUGAGUGUCGGAGGGGCAAGUGGAAUUCCUAGUGUAGCGGUGAAAUGCGUAGAUAUUAGGAGGAACACCAGUGGCGAAGGCGGCUUGCUGGACGACAACUGACGCUGAGGCUCGAAAGCGUGGGGAGCAAACAGGAUUAGAUACCCUGGUAGU